UAGGGAAUCUUCCGCAAUGGACGAAAGUCUGACGGAGCAACGCCGCGUGAGUGAUGAAGGUUUUCGGAUCGUAAAGCUCUGUUGCCAGGGAAGAACGCUUGGGAGAGUAACUGCUCUCAAGGUGACGGUACCUGAGAAGAAAGCCCCGGCUAACUACGUGCCAGCAGCCGCGGUAAUACGUAGGGGGCAAGCGUUGUCCGGAAUUAUUGGGCGUAAAGCGCGCGCAGGCGGCCUUGUAAGUCUGUUGUUUAAACUCGGGGCUCAACCCCGAGUCGCAAUGGAAACUGCAAAGCUUGAGUGCAGAAGAGGAAAGUGGAAUUCCACGUGUAGCGGUGAAAUGCGUAGAGAUGUGGAGGAACACCAGUGGCGAAGGCGACUUUCUGGGCUGUAACUGACGCUGAGGCGCGAAAGCGUGGGGAGCAAACAGG
rnacentral:rRNA from 1 species